UCUCCAGUGGCGCAAUGGGUUAGCGCGCGGUACUUAUAAUGCCGAGGAUGUGAGUUCGAAUCUCACCUGGGGAA
rnacentral:tRNA from 1 species